UAUGUUGUGGACUAAUGGGUAAGUCAUAAAUUUUUGGUAUUUACUAUUGAGUGUUCGAAUCACUCCGACAUAA
rnacentral:tRNA from 1 species